UUUUAGAGAAUUUGACAUUAA
rnacentral:piRNA from 1 species